rnacentral:rRNA from 1 species
CCCUUAGAUGUUCUGGGCCGCACGCGCGCUACACUGACGAAGUCAGCGAGCAUGUCCUACGCCGACAGGUGCGGGGAAUCUUGUCAAACUUCGUCGUGAUGGGGAUUGAUUUUUGAAAUUCUUGAUCAUAAACGAGGAAUUCCUAGUAAGCGCAAGUCAGCAGCUUGCGUUGAUUACGUCCCUGCCCUUUGUACACACCGCCCGUCGCUACUACCGAUUGAAUGGUUUAGUGAGAUCUUCGGAUUGGCGCCACUGCAGAUCAGCAAUGGGCUUGGUGGAUGCCGAAAAGUUGAUCAAACUUGAUCAUUUAGAGGAAGUAAAAGUCGUAACA